rnacentral:rRNA from 1 species
AUGUCCUGCUUGUUGAACUCCAUCCGAACCUACCAUAUCAGGCGGUAUUUCCCUGUAGCUGCUUUCUGUUUCCUAAUGAACGAGAAACUAUCGAUUUUUAGCUGGAACGUGAGAGGCCUCAAUGAUGGUGCUAGGUGUGCUACCUCUCGCGCGCUUAUUGAUAGCCUUGACUGCUCCAUUGUUUGUCUGCAAGAAACCAAGCUGCCAUCCUGUAUGAUGUCUGAUCGCCACGAAGUUGUGGGGCGGCGCUUUGAUCAGCACGUUGCGCUUGAUGCUGAUGGCACGCGUGGCGACAUUAUGCUAUGUUGGUGCUCGAGCCUUUUUGCCGUCAGUAGGGUCGAUGUUAGAGCCUUCUCAAUCACUGCCACCUUCUCGCCGGUUGGCGGCGGAUCACCAUGGUCGUUAACCACGGUAUAUGGCCCCCAUGAAGACCAGCGGAAAGACCUCUUCCUCGCCGAGCUCGCCUCCAUCCACAAUUCAAUGACCGGGCCUUGGAUGCUCAUUGGCGAUUUCAACUUAAUCACUAGCCCGCAGGACAAGAACAAUCCUAGAAUUUGCCGACGGUGGAUGAACAAAUUCCGUAGAACCCUUAACUCCUCGUGCUUGCAUGAGAUUUCUUUGAUUGGACGAAGAUUCACGUGGAGCAACGAGCAGGCCACGCCUACGCUCGUGCGCCUUGACCGCGCUUUCUGUAACAUGGAAUGGGAGCUCCUCUUCCCAGCGGCGAAGCUCAUCCCUCAGUCCUCGGCGAUCUCGGACCACUGCCCGCUGCUGCUUCUAAAUGACAGCAUCAUCAGGACCAACAGACGCUUUCGGUUUGAAUCUUAUUGGCAGUUUGUUGAGGGUUUCCAGGAGGUUGUGCAGCAAUCCUGGGUGAUGGAUGCUGGCAACUCUUGCCCCCUGACUAGGCUAAACCGUAAGCUUUGGCGGUUGAGCAAAGCAUUGCAAGCUUGGAGCAGAAACAUCAUCGGUGAUAUCCAAAAGCAAUUUGCGAUAGUGAACGAGUUAAUUCUGCAAUUGACCAUGCGCAAGAUUUUCGUGAGCUGA